rnacentral:rRNA from 1 species
UACGUAGGGUGCAAGCGUUAAUCGGAAUUACUGGGCGUAAAGCGUGCGCAGGCGGUUAUGUAAGACAGGUGUGAAAUCCCCGGGCUUAACCUGGGAACUGCAUUUGUGACUGCAUAGCUAGAGUACGGUAGAGGGGGAUGGAAUUCCGCGUGUAGCAGUGAAAUGCGUAGAUAUGCGGAGGAACACCGGUGGCGAAGGCGGCGACCUGGGUAGAUACUGACGCUGAGGUGCGAAAGCGUGGGGAGCAAACAGG